UCUGUUUUGCCUUUCUCGUUGUCUCUAGCGGGCCUUCGAUUUGUUUCGUCGGGCAAGCAUCGUCGCUGCGAAUCUCCUCCACCUCCUCCUUUGGAUCGUCGGCUGUUUCAAAAGAGGGAACAGGAAUAAGAGAGGUAUUGGUUUGCUAAUCCUACAUGGCUUUGGGGAUCAGCAGGUGGAGGUACUGGAUUCUCUAUUGGUCAUACUGCAGACCUGACUGAAGCUGACGAGCUUGACGGCCAUGGACAUC